AUACGUAGGUGGCAAGCGUUAUCCGGAAUCAUUGGGCGUAAAGGGUGCGUAGGCGGCUUCUUAAGUUUGUAGUGAAAUCGUAGGGCUCAACUCUAUCUAGCUACAAAAACUGGGAGGCUGGAGUGCGGUAGAGGCUAGUGGAAUUCCUAGUGUAGCGGUAAAAUGCGUAGAUAUUAGGAGGAACACCGGUGGCGAAGGCGACUGGCUGGGCCGUAACUGACGCUGAGGCACGAAAGCGUGGGGAGCAAAUAGGAUUAGAUACCCUAGUAGUCCACGCCGUAAACGAUGAAUACUAAGUGUUGGAGAAAUUCAGUGCUGCAGUUAACGCAAUAAGUAUUCCGCCUGGGGAGUAUGCACGCAAGUGUGAAACUCAAAUGAAUUGACGGGG
rnacentral:rRNA from 1 species